UACGGGGGGGCAAGCGUUGUUCGGAAUUACUGGGCGUAAAGGGCUCGUAGGUGGCCAACUAAGUCAGACGUGAAAUCCCUCGGCUUAACCGGGGAACUGCGUCUGAUACUGGAUGGCUUGAGUUUGGGAGAGGGACGCGGAAUUCCAGGUGUAGCGGUGAAAUGCGUAGAUAUCUGGAGGAAUACCGGUGGCGAAGGCGGCAUCCUGGACCGGCAUUGACGCUGAGGAGCGAAAGCCAGGGGAGCAAACGGG
rnacentral:rRNA from 1 species